rnacentral:misc_RNA from 1 species
GAUGAAGAACGUAGUGAAAUGCGAUAAGUAAUGUGAAUUGCAGAAUUCAGUGAAUCAUCGAAUCUUUGAACGCACAUUGCGCCCCUUGGUAUUCCGAGGGGCAUGCCUGUUCGAGCGUCAUUAUAACCCCUCAAGCUCAGCUUGGUGUUGGGGCCUGCUGCACUGGCAGCCCUUAAAAUCAGUGGCGGCGCCAUCUGGCUCUAAGCGUAGUAGUUCUUCUCGCUAUGGAGUCCUGGUGGAUGCUUGCCAUCAACCCCCAAUUUUUCUAUGGUUGACCUCGGAUCAGGUAGGGAUACCCGCUGAACUUAAGCAUAUCAAUAAGCGGAGGA